UCCUCUAUAUCUACUGUUAAGAUUCCUGGUUUUCACCCAGGUGGCCCGGGUUCGACUCCCAGUGUGGGAA
rnacentral:tRNA from 1 species